UGAGCAUUUUACAUCUAUUUUUUAGGAUUAUGACAAUCUUGUGUUCACCCUGUGAUUUAAGACUUCGCAUACUGCUAGUAUGAACACCAAACAUUGUAACUUAGCAGUUUUGUUGUAAAUGUGGAAAAGUAUAAUACCCUCCUUUAAGUGUGGGAUAACAUUUGCUGUGUAUGGUCACGAUAUAAAUAAAAAUAGAUUGAUUGGUUUGAUAGAGCUGACUGUACCCUGGGAAGAGAGGAUAGAGGUGUACGAGUGCAAGCUUAAGAAAUACCAAGCCCUCAUCCUCGAGAGCCAGCAAAAGGGAUGGAAAGCCUGGAACUUGCCGGUGGAGGUGGGCUGCAGUACCUGUAAAGGUGAACCAGUUGCGAUACCCUAUCAUAUUUUGCAUAUGAGAAUCUAUGUGUAUCUUAAACUAACUGGAUUGUUGUUUUGUUUGCUGUUGAGAGACUAGCUCUGCAUCCAAAGGCCAAAAGAGAAUUCAGUGCUGUCUUUUAGGCAGUGGUAUGACAUGAGUAUAAAAAAUAAUGGGAUAAUAUGAAAAUGAAAAAUAUUGUUUCUCUGUUAGGGUGUAUUUCUACUUUGGUGACUCAGUUUACAUUUUUAUCUUAUUGCAGGUCUGAUGACUAAGAUACAAUCUUGCACCAAGUUUCUAUCAGGAAUUAAAUUACUGUGGUGUCCUCGGUAAAGACAGUCACAUAGUUGUUGUGUUUUAUACUAAAGUGGAUACCUCUUUAUGGGACUAUGUGAAUGCCUGCACCAUCAGAUACAGAAUUUCUGCAUCUAACUUAUUAACAUAUCUAACAUAUUAAACUCGGGCUUGGUGGGCCUUGUACCCAUUUAUUAUGCUGGUGACAUGCCUUUCUUCGUGGUUGUUACAAUUCAUCCAGCCUUAAUACAAUAAUCACAGCGAUGAUAUUCAUGGUCUGUGUGAUGGCUGAUGAAGUUCAAGAGUAAAUGUAAUGCCCUGAAUUUUCCAAAGUAAAGAUGCAAUUUGACUUUUUAAUGCAAUAACCAACUAACUAAUCCAGUUUGUUAAAUGUGAUCAAAGUUCAUGCACAGCUCUGUCUGUAAUAACAUGUUUGAAAUACUUUUUUUUCUCGUUUUUAUGUGUCUGUUAGGAAUUUUGGUAAAAACAAAGACAUGAAGAACAUCACCACCACUUUGGGGCAAGGACAGCAUCUGUUCUUC